GAUAUGAAGUUGGAAGCAGUUUG
rnacentral:piRNA from 1 species